rnacentral:misc_RNA from 1 species
GAUGAAGAACGCAGCGAAAUGCGAUAAGUAAUGUGAAUUGCAGAAUUCAGUGAAUCAUCGAAUCUUUGAACGCACCUUGCACCCUUUGGCAUUCCGAAGGGUAUGCUCGUUUGAGUGUCAUUGUACUCUCACUCUCCCGAUGCUUUUGGAUCGGGAGUGGUGGACUUGGGUGUUGCUGCUUUGCUGUGGCUCGCCUCAAAUGGAGUAGUGCAACUCUUGGUUGGACAUAGUACGGCGUGAUAAGUGUCUUCGCCGGCGCCUCAUUAUAGAGGGUGGCCGAUCGGGAGCUCUGUGCUUCAAACCAUCUUCGGACAACAUCUGACAACUUGACCUCAAAUCGAGUAGGACUACCCGCUGAACUUAAGCAUAUCAAUAAGCGGAGGA